AUGGGGCAUCCUUACUCCCAGUCUUUCCAGAUGUUCUUCCCACUCUUCAACUGCUCCUGGCUCAGAAACCCUGCACACCUGGAAGAAAGUGAGAACCAGUUUUUCAAUAAACACAUUGCACAGACUUAUUGUGAACCCCGGGUGGAAUCAAGCAUUGGAGGGAGAAGAGAACGUGGGUCUUGCUCUGUCCCCUAGGCUGGAGUGCAGUGGUGCAGUCUCAAUUAUGCCAGAUGGCUUUGAGGUCCAAGUAAAAGAUAAUAUUUGCAACCAACUCACUGGAGUUGACUGUCAAAUCUCUUCCAGAGAAUCCAGCCAGGACUGUGAAGCCCCAGGGAAUGGCUGCACUUCAAGUCAGAAGGAGCCUGGGUCCCUGAAUCAUCAUGUGGAAGGCUCUCCACCCAACUCAAUGGUGCAAUGGACCACAAGCAAGAACUUAAUUUAGAAUGUGCUUAUUUUGUUAGAUUUUGUAAUUAAAAAAUUGAUCCCACUCUGACUGAA
rnacentral:lncRNA from 1 species